rnacentral:rRNA from 1 species
GCAUAUCAAUAAGCGCAGGAAAAGAAACCAACAGGGAUUGCCUCAGUAACGGCGAGUGAAGCGGCAACAGCUCAAAUUUGAAAUCUGGCCUCUUGGGGUCCGAGUUGUAAUUUGUAGAGGAUGUUUCGGGUACCGCCUCGGUUUAAAUUUCUUGGAACAGAAUGUCAAAGAGGGUGAGAAUCCCGUCUUGGACCGGCGGUAGGGCCUAUGUGAAACUCCUUCGACGAGUCGAGUUGUUUGGGAAUGCAGCUCAAAAUGGGUGGUAAAUUUCAUCUAAAGCUAAAUAUUGGCCAGAGACCGAUAGCGCACAAGUAGAGUGAUCGAAAGAUGAAAAGCACUUUGAAAAGAGAGUUAAACAGUAUGUGAAAUUGUUGAAAGGGAAGCGCUUGCAACCAGACUUGAGCGCGGCGGUUCCCCCUUGCUUCUGCUUGGGUUACUCCGCCGUGUCCAGGCCAACAUCGGUUCUGGGGGUCGGUCAAAGGCUCUGGGAAUGUAUCUACCCACGGGUAGACUUAUAGACCAGGGUGUCAUGCGACCUCCCGGGACCGAGGAACGCGCUUCGGCUCGGAUGUUGGCGUAAUGGUUGUCAGCGACCCGUCUUGAAACACGGACCAAGGAGUCUAACAUCUAUGCGAGUGUUUGGGUGUCAAACCCGGAACGCGGAAUGAAAGUGAACGGAGGUAGGAAGCUUCGGCUGCACUAUCGACCGAUCCUGAAGUUUACGGAUGGAUUUGAGUAAGAGCAUAGCUGUUGGGACCCGAAAGAUGGUGAACUAUGCCUGAAUAGGGUGAAGCCAGAGGAAACUCUGGUGGAGGCUCGCAGCGGUUCUGACGUGCAAAUCGAUCGUCAAAUUUGGGUAUAGGGGCGAAAGACUAAUCGAACCAUCUGGUAGCUGGUUCCUGCCGAA